rnacentral:rRNA from 1 species
AACGAACUCUGGCGGCAUGCCUAACACAUGCAAGUCGAACGAGACCUUCGGGUCUAGCGGCGCACGGGUGCGUAACGCGUGGGAACCUGCCCUUAGGUUCGGAAUAACUCCCCGAAAGGGGUGCUAAUACCGGAUACUGUCUUCGGACCAAAGCUUCAUCGCCUUUGGAUGGGCCCGCGUUGGAUUAGCUAGUUGGUAGGGUAAAAGCCUACCAAGGCGACGAUCCAUAGCUGGUCUGAGAGGAUGAUCAGCCACACUGGGACUGAGACACGGCCCAGACUCCUACGGGAGGCAGCAGUGGGGAAUAUUGUACGAUGGGCGAAAGCCUGAUCCAGCAAUGCCGCGUGAGUGAUGAAGGCCUUAGGGUUGUAAAGCUCUUUUACCCGGGAUGAUAAUGACAGUACCGGGAGAAUAAGCUCCGGCUAACUCCGUG